rnacentral:rRNA from 1 species
AGUAAUGCUUGGGAAUCUAGCUUAUGGAGGGGGAUAACUACGGGAAACUGUAGCUAAUACCGCGUAGAAUCGAGAGAUGAAAGUGUGGGACCUUCGGGCCACAUACCAUAGGAUGAGCCCGAGUGGGAUUAGGUAGUUGGUGAGGUAAAGGCUCACCAAGCUGACGAUCUCUAGCUGGUCUGAGAGGAUGACCAGCCACACUGGGACUGAGACACGGCCCAG